UCAGCACGUUCAGAGGUGGCAGCUGUGACAACAAAUGCAAUUUGCUUCACAGGACUCUGCUCUGAGAGGUCGUGAUUGAGCACUGCUCCAUCCUAUCUGUCAUCUCUCUAGCCCCCCGGGCUGACUCAUCUAGACCUGCUAUCACACUGUAAUCUUCUGACUGCAGGAAGCUCCUGACACUCUGAAGAUGAGAUCUGGUCGCUGUCUGAUGGGUGGAAACACGUGGCAACAUCUCCUGAGUGAUAGCUGCAGUGGAGGUGGCUGUAGAGCUGUGAUCAGGACAGUGACAACCCUGCUGCCCUGCUGAUUUGAGAAUAUCUGGUUUUGAGAAGCAUAUUCCCCCUGAAGAUGGUGGGACUAAAAAAGGAACAGAGAAACAGAGACUUUUCUACAUUGGAGUCAAGAGGAACUUGCUGGAUAAAUAUUUGGGUCGCACAACAUGGAUUUGAUGGAUUUGCACUAUGUAAUUUUUGCACAACUGGAAACUGAAGAUGUUUCUGAACUAAAAAGAUCCUUCUGUGCCU
rnacentral:lncRNA from 1 species